GAUGAACGCUGGCGGCGUGCCUAAUACAUGCAAGUCGAGCGAACAGACGAGGAGCUUGCUCCUCUGACGUUAGCGGCGGGCGGGUGAGUAACACGUGGAUAACCUACUUAUAAGACUGGGAUAACUUCGGGAAACCGGCGCUUAUCCCGGAUAAUCUCUUGAACCGCAUGGUUCAAUAGUGAAAUACGGUUUUUCUGUCACUUAUAGAUGGAUCCGCGCCGCAUUAGCUAGUUGGUAAGGUAACGGCUUACCAAGGCAACGAGGCGUAGCCGACCUGAGAGGGUGAUCGGCCACACUGGAACUGAGACACGGUCCAGACUCCUACGGGAGGCAGCAGUAGGGAAUCGUCCGCAAUGGGCGAAAGCCUGACGGAGCAACGCCGCGUGAGUGAUGAAGGUCUUCCGAUCGUAAAACUCUGUUAUUAGUGAAGAACAAAUGUGUAAGUAACUAUGCACGUCGUGACGGUACCUAAUCAGAAAGCCACGGCUAACUACGUG
rnacentral:rRNA from 1 species